rnacentral:rRNA from 1 species
CUCAGGAUCAACGCUGGCGGCGUGCCUAAUGCAUGCAAGUCGCACGGGCGCUCUUUCGAGCGUCAGUGGCGAACGGCUGAGGAACACGUACGAACCUACCCGCUCGUGGGGAAUAACGCGCCGAAAGGCGUGCUAAUACCGCGUACGCUUCCCCUUGAGGGAAGGAAAGCCGCAAGGCGCGGGCGGCGGGGCGUGCGGCCCAUCAGGUUGUUGGCGGGGUAAUGGCCCACCAAGCCUCUGACGGGUAGCUGGUCUGUGAGGACGAUCAGCCAGACUGGGACUGCGAGACGGCCCAGACACCUACGGGUGGCAGCAGCAAGGAAUCUUCGGCACUGGGCGCAAGCCUGACCGAGCAACGCCGCGUGGAGGACGACGGCCUUCGGGUUGUAAACUCCUUUCGGGGGGGAUGAAACGGACAGUACCCCCAGAAGCAGCCCCGGCUAACUCUGUGCCAGCAGCCGCGGUAAGACAGAGGGGGCAAGCGUUGUCCGGAUUAACUGGGCGUACAGGGCGUGUAGGCGGUCGGCGACGUGCCAUGUGACAAGCGGGAGCUCAACUCCCGCAGGCCAUGGCAGACGCGCGGACUCGAGGCAGGGAGAGGGAGGUGGAAUACCCGGUGGAGCGGUGAAAUGCGUAGAGAUCGGGUGGAACACCAGCGGCGAAGGCGGCCUCCUGGCCCUGAGCUGACGCUGAGGCGCGAGAGCGUGGGGAGCGAACCGGAUUAGAUACCCGGGUAGUCCACGCCGUAAACGAUGUGGACCCGGUGCUGGGGGGUGAUUGCGCCCCUCGGUGCCCAAGCUUACGCGAUGAGUCCACCGCCUGGGGACUACGGCCGCAAGGCUAAAACUCAAAGGAAUUGACGGGGGCCCGCACAAGCAGCGGAGCGUGUGGUUUAAUUCGACGCAACACGCAGAACCUUACCCAGGCUUGACAUGCAGCUGCAGGGGUGGGAAACCACGCCGCCUUCGAGGGUGCUGCACCGGUGCUGCAUGGCUGUCGUCAGCUCGUGUCGUGAGAUGUUGGGUUAAGUCCCGCAACGAGCGCAACCCUUGCCCCGUGUUGCCAGUAUCACGGGGGACUGCCGGAGUAUGACUCCGGAGGAAGGCGGGGAUGACGUCAAGUCCGCAUGGCCCCGACGCCUGGGGCGACACACACGCUACAAUGGCCGGAGGAGCGCGUUGCCACCCGGUAACGGGGCGCUAAUCGCCAAGCCCGGUCUCAGUGCAGAUUGGGGGCUGCAACUCGCCCCCAUGAGGGCGGAGUUGCUAGUAACCGCGUGUCAGCAGAGCGCGGUGAAUACGUACCCGGGCCUUGUACACACCGCCCGUCACGUCAUGGGAGUCGGGAACACCUGAAGUCCGUGGGCCGACCGGCAACGGAGGCAGCGGCCGAGGGUGGGCCUGGCGACUGGG